UACGUAGGGUGCGAGCGUUAAUCGGAAUUACUGGGCGUAAAGCGUGCGCAGGCGGCGCGUUAAGACAGGUGUGAAAGCCCCGAGCUUAACUUGGGAAUUGCGCUUGUGACUGGCGUGCUGGAGUGUGGCAGAGGGAGGUGGAAUUCCACGUGUAGCAGUGAAAUGCGUAGAGAUGUGGAGGAACACCGGUGGCGAAGGCGGCCUGCUGGGCAGUGGCUGACGCUGAUGCGCGACAGCGUGGGGAGCAAACAGG
rnacentral:rRNA from 1 species